AUGAACGCUAGCUACAGGCUUAACACAUGCAAGUCGAGGGGCAGCAUUUUAGUUUGCUUGCAAACUGAAGAUGGCGACCGGCGCACGGGUGAGUAACACGUAUCCAACCUGCCGAUAACUCCGGAAUAGCCUUUCGAAAGAAAGAUUAAUACCGGAUAGCAUACGAAUAUCGCAUGAUAUUUUUAUUAAAGAAUUUCGGUUAUCGAUGGGGAUGCGUUCCAUUAGUUUGUUGGCGGGGUAACGGCCCACCAAGACUACGAUGGAUAGGGGUUCUGAGAGGAAGGUCCCCCACAUUGGAACUGAGACACGGUCCAAACUCCUACGGGAGGCAGCAGUGAGGAAUAUUGGUCAAUGGGCGAGAGCCUGAACCAGCCAAGUAGCGUGAAGGAUGAAGGCUCUAUGGGUCGUAAACUUCUUUUAUAUGGGAAUAAAGUUUUCCACGUGUGGAAUUUUGUAUGUACCAUAUGAAUAAGGAUCGGCUAACUCCGUGCCAGCAGCCGCGGUAAUACGGAGGAUCCGAGCGUUAUCCGGGUUUAUUGGGUUUAAAGGGAGCGUAGGUGGAUUGUUAAGUCAGUUGUGAAAGUUUGCGGCUCAACCGUAAAAUUGCAGUUGAAACUGGCAGUCUUGAGUACAGUAGAGGUGGGCGGAAUUCGUGGUGUAGCGGUGAAAUGCUUAGAUAUCACGAAGAACUCCGAUUGCGAAGGCAGCUCACUAGACUGUCACUGACACUGAUGCUCGAAAGUGUGGGUAUCAAACAGGAUUAGAUACCCUGGUAGUCCACACAGUAAACGAUGAAUACUCGCUGUUUGCGAUAUACAGUAAGCGGCCAAGCGAAAGCAUUAAGUAUUCCACCUGGGGAGUACGCCGGCAACGGUGAAACUCAAAGGAAUUGACGGGGGCCCGCACAAGCGGAGGAACAUGUGGUUUAAUUCGAUGAUACGCGAGGAACCUUACCCGGGCUUAAAUUGCAACAGAAUAUAUUGGAAACAGUAUAGCCGUAAGGCUGUUGUGAAGGUGCUGCAUGGUUGUCGUCAGCUCGUGCCGUGAGGUGUCGGCUUAAGUGCCAUAACGAGCGCAACCCUUAUCUUUAGUUACUAACAGGUCAUGCUGAGGACUCUAGAGAGACUGCCGUCGUAAGAUGUGAGGAAGGUGGGGAUGACGUCAAAUCAGCACGGCCCUUACGUCCGGGGCUACACACGUGUUACAAUGGGGGGUACAGAAGGCGGCUACCUGGUGACAGGAUGCUAAUCCCAAAAACCUCUCUCAGUUCGGAUCGAAGUCUGCAACCCGACUUCGUGAAGCUGGAUUCGCUAGUAAUCGCGCAUCAGCCAUGGCGCGGUGAAUACGUUCCCGGGCCUUGUACACACCGCCCGUCAAGCCAUGAAAGCCGGGGGUACCUGAAGUACGUAACCGCAAGGAGCGUCCUAGGGUAAAACUGGUAAUUGGGGCU
rnacentral:rRNA from 1 species